UUCCAGACUCCUACGGGAGGCAGCAGUAGGGAAUAUUGCUCAAUGGGGGGAACCCUGAUGCAGCGACGCCGCGUGGGUGAAGAAGCGCCUCGGCGCGUAAAGCCCUGUCAGCAGGGAAGAAAAUGACGGUACCUGAAGAAGAAGCCCCGGCUAACUACGUGCCAGCAGCCGCGGUAAUACGUAGGGGGCAAGCGUUAUCCGGAUUUACUGGGUGUAAAGGGGGCGCAGACGGCGAUGCAAGCCAGGAGUGAAAGCCCGGGGCCCAACCCCGGGACUGCUCUUGGAACUGCGUGGCUGGAGUGCAGGAGGGGCAGGCGGAAUUCCUGGUGUAGCGGUGAAAUGCGUAGAUAUCAGGAGGAACACCGGUGGCGAAGGCGGCCUGCUGGACUGCAACUGACGUUGAGGCCCGAAAGCGUGGGGAGCAAACAGGAUUAGAUACCCCAGUAC
rnacentral:rRNA from 1 species